UGGACGAAAGUCUGACGGAGCAACGCCGCGUGAGUGAAGAAGUAUUUCGGUAUGUAAAGCUCUAUCAGCAGGGAAGAAACUGACGGUACCUGACUAAGAAGCCCCGGCUAACUACGUGCCAGCAGCCGCGGUAAUACGUAGGGGGCAAGCGUUAUCCGGAUUUACUGGGUGUAAAGGGAGCGUAGACGGCGAAGCAAGUCUGGAGUGAAAACCCAGGGCUCAACCCUGGGACUGCUUUGGAAACUGUUUUGCUAGAGUGUCGGAGAGGUAAGUGGAAUUCCUAGU
rnacentral:rRNA from 1 species